GAUGAAGAACGUAGCGAAAUGCGAUAAGUAAUGUGAAUUGCAGAAUUCAGUGAAUCAUCGAAUCUUUGAACGCACAUUGCGCCCGCCAGCACUCUGGCGGGCAUGCCUGUCCGAGCGUCAUUUCAACCCUCGCGCCGUCCCUCCAGGGGGCUCGGCGCGGUGUUGGGGGACACGGCCCCGACCGCCCCCGAAAUGCAGUGGCGACCCCGCCGCGGCCCCUCCAGCGCAGUAAGCACGCUCGCUACGGGAGGCCCGGUGGACGCGUCCGCCGUAAAACGCCCAACUCUUCAGAAGUUGACCUCGGAUCAGGUAGGGAUACCCGCUGAACUUAAGCAUAUCAAUAAGCGGAGGA
rnacentral:misc_RNA from 1 species